rnacentral:ribozyme from 1 species
ACAAAGUGGAGAAAUAGCCUAGGUAGAAUAUUGCCAUACCUCCUCUGCUCAUGUCAUUAGCAUAUUUUUUCUUUUCUUAUUAUUUUAUUUUUUAUUUUCUGCUUA